GCUCAUCCUCCACCGUGCGCCACCAGUAGCCGCCUCUGGGUCGACACUGUUCUGCCUCCAUUCUCCCUCCUCUUGCCAUUUUCUGUUUCUGCUUCUUCUGCAGGAAAACUAUGUUGAAGGGGAAAUCGAACUUCAUUAAGGUCAAACUUUUAAGAGCAAAUGUUACAGAGUAAAAGUCAUGAACUUGUGGAUCGGACAUGAUGAUAAAUCUAUUUGCUACAUAGCUAGUUCAACUCUUCUUUGUUAUAUUUUUUGCAACAUUAGAUGAUAUAGUUCGAGGUUGUCAUGAUAGUAUAUAUAUUGUGGUAUUUUGAAUGUGA